rnacentral:rRNA from 1 species
AAGUCGAGCGAACGGACGAGAAGCUUGCUUCUCUGAUGUUAGCGACGGACGGGUGAGUAACACGUGGAUAACCUACCUAUAAGACUGGGAUAACUUCGGGAAACCGGAGCUAAUACCGGAUAAUAUUUUGAACCGCAUGGUUCAAAAGUGAAAGACGGUCUUGCUGUCACUUAUAGAUGGAUCCGCGCUGCAUUAGCUAGUUGGUAAGGUAACGGCUUACCAAGGCAACGAUGCAUAGCCGACCUGAGAGGGUGAUCGGCCACACUGGAACUGAGACACGGUCCAGACUCCUACGGGAGGCAGCAGUAGGGAAUCUUCCGCAAUGGGCGAAAGCCUGACGGAGCAACGCCGCGUGAGUGAUGAAGGUCUUCGGAUCGUAAAACUCUGUUAUUAGGGAAGAACAUAUGUGUAAGUAACUGUGCACAUCUUGACGGUACCUAAUCAGAAAGCCACGGCUAACUACGUGCCAGCAGCCGCGGUAAUACGUAGGUGGCAAGCGUUAUCCGGAAUUAUUGGGCGUAAAGCGCGCGUAGGCGGUUUUUUAAGUCUGAUGUGAAAGCCCACGGCUCAACCGUGGAGGGUCAUUGGAAACUGGAAAACUUGAGUGCAGAAGAGGAAAGUGGAAUUCCAUGUGUAGCGGUGAAAUGCGCAGAGAUAUGGAGGUACACCAGUGGCGAAGGCGACUUUCUGGUCUGUAACUGACGCUGAUGUGCGA